CUGCCGUUAAGGAGAAGAGAGAGCACAACCUAGCUUAAGCCCAGCAGCGCUGGAGUCAGGGCCCAUUUUGCCCCCCCAGCCCCUCCACUCCUCCACUCCCAGUCUCUCUCCACGACAAGGCUCAGGUGCAGAUGAGGGGUCCCCAGCUGGGGACAGCUCUGUCCACAGAGCCCAAAAUAAGGGGAGGAAGCCUGGACUCUGCACACCAGUCCCAAUACUGCUGGAACUGCACAGAGCCCCGUGCAGGACUGGCUCAUACCUGGGCAAGAAGAGGCACAGGAAAUGUCAGCACUAAGCAGCUGCUGGCAGGUGGUGGGUGACAGCUGACAGCAGUCACCCCAGGCUCCAGGGGUCUGCUCGGAGCCCAGAGGGCAGAGCAGCAGAGCUCCAUCCCUCUCCCCUGUCUGUGCAGCCCUGGCCCCAAAAUGGGGUCACAAGAAACAAGAUUUAGAGGUGGGGGAGCAGCCUGUGCCUGCAGUUUCGCUCAACCCAUUUUGGGACUGAUCUUGUCGAGGCUGGUGCCUGCUCCUCAGCAAGCCCUUCCCCAGCCCCCUCCUGAACUGCUUUGAUUUCAAACAACAUCAAGAUUUCAUGCAGAGCCUGCAAGCUGGAGAUGUGGGAAGUGCCUCCUUCUUCCCCUGUUGCUCCAUACACAGCCAUGCUUGGCAAUUUGGAACGCAGGGGGACAGACACGGUUGUCAUACGCCCCACGGGUGCAGGCUGCACUGCUUCCUGUGCACUCAGGGCUAAGCACCUUCCCCAGGGCCCUGCAGCCAAAAGGAAGGUCUUGUUACUCAUUUCUUUUUAAUGGGCAUUCUGAACAUAAACAUUUCACUUCAAAGCAGCUCCCACGGUGGGCUAACCAGAGCAGACCGAGAACUUGGGGCACAUUCAAGAGUUCAGCAAACAAAUACAUGUCGGCGUUCAGAGGUGUCUGUAAAGGACACAGCGUCCCCAGUGGCACAGACAGACAGAUGGGGACAGUGGUCCCACCCCAGCCCCCGCAGCAGCACUUACGCAAAGAGGAAGACAGCACUCAAAUCCCGUGGUGGAGCAGCUCCCAGGUGCGUGGGGACUUCCCAGCUGGCGGGACCUGCCUCAGCCCGCUUCAGUCCUGGAGCCCUGUGGCAGUCGUGGCUCCUGCUGGUCCUUGUCAGAGGUAGUUGUGAAACAUGGGAGGCAACUGGCCUGAGGGUGAGGGGUUGCUCCCUGGGUCUGGAUCUGUGCCCAGGAUGAACCCAGCUGGUGCGGCCCCAGUGCCACACCCAGAGCUGUCCCUGUCCCCUCUCUGCCCACAGCUGGGCAGAACCCAUCCACAAGGGUCCCCCAGCUGCCCUCCCAGGAAUGCUUUUCCUGGUACAGCCAGGCUUGGGCACCCCAACAUGACUGAGGUCCCAAAGGGCUCUGACAGCCCAGAACUGCUCUGGGACUGGAUAGAACCCCCAGAAGGCACAGGUGGCCCCUGCUCUCCCCACAUCUCUGAUGGGGUACAGAGCACAGUAUAACAAAGGCACAUGCAAUGCUCAGAGUAGGGAGAAAGAACAGUCAUAACUUGGUAAUGCCACUAUCCCUACUACCAGUGAGCUAGAGUGCCCCACAGCACUUGCUGCCUCUGCUCCAUCCUAUUCUUCCUCCCACUGGCUCAACGCUCUGUGACCCAUGAGGUCUGGGAUGGACUGUGGGGGCAGUCACUCCUGCUUAGAGUGUUGUUCUUUCAUCAAGUGUUGCUCCCACUCUGCCUCCACGACCUUGUACAGCUCCAUGGUGGUCCUGGCGUCCUCCACUGAACAAUGUCCGCUUUUGCCAACCUGUUG
rnacentral:lncRNA from 1 species